rnacentral:rRNA from 1 species
AGUGAACGCUGGCGGUAGGCCUAACACAUGCAAGUCGAACGGCAGCACAGUAAGAGCUUGCUCUUACGGGUGGCGAGUGGCGGACGGGUGAGGAAUACAUCGGAAUCUACUUUUUCGUGGGGGAUAACGUAGGGAAACUUACGCUAAUACCGCAUACGACCUACGGGUGAAAGCAGGGGAUCUUCGGACCUUGCGCGAUUGAAUGAGCCGAUGUCGGAUUAGCUAGUUGGCGGGGUAAAGGCCCACCAAGGCGACGAUCCGUAGCUGGUCUGAGAGGAUGAUCAGCCACACUGGAGCUGAGACACGGUCCAGACUCCUACGGGAGGCAGCAGUGGGGAAUAUUGGACAAUGGGCGCAAGCCUGCUCCAGCCAUGCCGCGUGGGUGAAGAAGGCCUUCGGGUUGUAAAGCCCUUUUGUUGGGAAAGAAAAGCAGCAGGUUAAUACCCCGCUGUUCUGACGGUACCCAAAGAAUAAGCACCGGCUAACUUCGU